rnacentral:lncRNA from 1 species
AAAAAACUUCAAAUAUCAUCUCUAUGGUUUUGCACUUUCUUAUUUUAGUACUCUGUGGUUUAAAGUGUAUUAUUUUCGUAUCUUAUAAUUUUAUUUUAUUUUUUUUGUUAUCCGCUCCACUAAUUUUUUUAAUUAAAUCAGUGACGAAGUUAAAACUAAAGAAUAAUAUAGUGAUAUUCGAUAAACUAAAGGUGGGGUAACUGAAGUUUUUUAUAUAUAAUUUAACAAAAAGUUAACGGAGGGAUUCACGAAAAGAGAAAAAUGAAACCAUAGAAUACUAAACUAAUAUAUUUUAAACCACAAAGUACUAAAAUGAAAAAGUGUGAAACCACAUGAGUGGUAUUUAAAGUUUAUCGUUAAAAGUUUAAAUAUUAAUAUUUCAGAUCUCAACUUCGAAAUCUAAUAACUUCACAUUUCUAGCCGAUAUACCAUUCUCUCUCUCAAAAAAAAAAACACACACACACACACACAC